AUUGAACGCUGGCGGCAUGCCUUACACAUGCAAGUCGAACGGUAACAGGUCUUCGGAUGCUGACGAGUGGCGAACGGGUGAGUAAUACAUCGGAACGUGCCCGAUCGUGGGGGAUAACGAAGCGAAAGCUUUGCUAAUACCGCAUAAGAUCUACGGAUGAAAGCAGGGGACCGCAAGGCCUUGCGCGAACGGAGCGGCCGAUGGCAGAUUAGGUAGUUGGUGGGAUAAAAGCUUACCAAGCCGGCGAUCUGUAGCUGGUCUGAGGGGACGACCAGCCACACUGGGACAGAGACACGGCCCAGACUCCUACGGGAGGCAGCAGUGGGGAAUUUUGGACAAUGGGCGAAAGCCUGAUCCAGCCAUGCCGCGUGCAGGAUGAAGGCCUUCGGGUUGUAAACUGCUUUUGUACGAAACGAAAAGACUCUGGUUAAUACCUGGGGUCCAUGACGGUACCGUAAGAAUAAGCACCGGCUAACUACGUGCCAGCCGCCGCAGUAACAC
rnacentral:rRNA from 1 species